rnacentral:lncRNA from 1 species
UAUCUAAAAAUAGCAGAAGAAUAUCAAUAAAAAUAUACUAUUAUAGACCUAUUCUAGCUGAUCUUACUAAUCAGUUUUGCACAAAAUAUUACACAAUCAGAUAUCAUCUAAUAACAGUGCUCAUCAGAGAUGGCCAGUUUAGCAUUCUUUGAUAAAAAUAAAACAAAAUCACAAUUAUGGGAGGGACUCACCAUGAGUCAUGUCCCUUGUUCCACCCCUCCUGAAGCUUGUGUAAGUUGUGAUUGCCUAAGAGAUAGGUGGGGUCGAAAUGAGUGUAGGUAUUCUUUUUCUUUUUGGAGGGGUUGAUACAUGUGUAGGGUGCAUAAAACCGUAACCUCAUGUAUGGAUGCAUACGCAUAGGUAUGUUGAUGUGUGUGGUAUGGUGUGGUCAGAUCUUUAUUGAACUCUCAGGUUGUGAUGGUGAAAAACUGAUAGUGGAAGUCCUUGAAUUUAUAAUCAUGGUGGAGCCUGCAGAUAAAUCAAAAAUAAAAUAAAAUACGUAUGAAAUGUCAUAGCAAAAUGAAAUAUAAAAAGUGUAUCACAAUUUGCUUAGUCACUGACAUAUGAAAACUGGAUACAAUGACUCCAGAACAAGUUUUACAGACAUUAAUGUACAAAGAAGAAAGUUAUAAAAUAUGUAGAUUGAUUUAUCUAUUCAUAGAUCAACAACCGAAAAGUUCAUGUUUACAACACGUGUGUGUGUGUGUGAAAAGCAAAAAGAAUGUGAAUACACAUAGAAAAGAAGGUUUAUAUUCCUACACAUAUGUGCAUGCACGUGUGUGUGUGCGUGCACGUGCAUGCAUGCACAAGAGGAAAGAAGAAUUAAAUUUGGUAGUGAAAAGUCUUGUAGUUCUCUGGAAUUAUAUUAGCUUAUUUGAAACAGUAACAAAAAAAAAAGACUAAAAUAAAAGUAUGAAAGAUGUCUUGAUCAGUUGUCAUCAGUGAUUUGAUUGCACUCUUCCAGCUGUUUUAAUAAUUUGACUGUGACAUGACUUUAUUCAUCCUAGCUCUGCAGCCUCUCUCCAUGUUUCAAGGAAAAGAUGUCUUAUAUAAAGCCUAAUGUUCACAGUUAUUUAUAUGUGUGAAUCAUUCAGAAUUCAGAAAACUCCCUUUUUUCUCUCAGCCCAAGAAGAUUCUCUGUUACCAAUUGGCUUUUCUUAGGUCAUCUGGUUUUUCAAUAAAUAUUUAUGUUUUUUU